rnacentral:rRNA from 1 species
UGGAGGCAGCAGUGGGGAAUAUUGCACAAUGGGGGAAACCCUGAUGCAGCAACGCCGCGUGAACGAAGAAGGCCUUCGGGUCGUAAAGUUCUUUGAUUGGGGACGAUAAUGACGGUACCCAAAAAACAAGCCACGGCUAACUACGUGCCAGCAGCCGCGGUAAUACGUAGGUGGCGAGCGUUGUCCGGAUUUACUGGGCGUAAAGGAUGCGUAGGUGGAAACUUAAGUGGGAUGUGAAAUCCCCGGACUCAACCCGGGAACUGCAUUCCAAACUGGGUAUCUAGAGUGCAGGAGAGGAAAGCGGAAUUCCUAGUGUAGCGGUGAAAUGCGUAGAUAUUAGGAAGAACACCAGUGGCGAAGGCGGCUUUCUGGACUGUAACUGACACUGAGGCAUGAAAGCGUGGGGAGCAAACAGGAUUAGAUACCCGAGUAGUC